ensembl:snoRNA
AGGUCCUGUUCCACGAGCUGAGGAUUCUAAGGACAAAUAAUCCACAACCAGACUUACAGAUAGGUUCAAGAAAUAAAUUCUCUUUUGCAACCAAGAGCUCAUCGUUCAGUAUGAGUUUCAAUACAUAUAAGAAGAAAUAUU